AAAACCUGAACACAUAACACCCUAAAUGUCUCACCUCUCCUAACACGAGUCAUUUAUACACAUUCAUUUCUCCACCACCUCCUUACAGCUCUGAGAAAUUGCCUUGCUUCAGGCUGGGUCCCUGCCAUGUGACAAUGGACACAGCGCUGAAGAACCAACUAUGAACAAGACAAAAGAUUGCUGCCCUCAUGGAACUUUCUGUCCAGAUGGAGAGACAGACAAUUAAACAGGACUGGAGCCCUUAUAAGAAGAUGGAGAGACACCAGAGAAAUGAAGACACGGCAAGAAGGUGGCCACCUGCAAGCCAAGGAGAGAGGCCUCACCAGAAGCCCUGUUGGCACCUUGAUCUCGAACUUCCAGUCUCCAGAACUGUGAGACAAUAAAUCUAUGUUGUUUAAAAUACUUACCCUAAGGUAUUCUGUUAUGACAGCCCUAGCAGACUAAUAUACCCCCAAAUGGAAUAAUAAUAAUAAUGAUAUACAGAGAUGAUUAUGCAUCAAGCAAAGUUCUAAGUGCCAUGCAAAUAUUAAUGUAUUUAAUCUACACAGGCUACACAGGAAUUUUAUGAGGAAGAUACUUGUAUUAUUUUCAUUUUAUAAUUGAGGAAAUUGAAUUACAUAGAGGUUAAGUGAUUUUACCCAUGAUCAUGCAGCUAGUAAGUAGUGGACCUAGGAUUUGAACUAGGCAAUCUGGUUCCAGAGGGCAUGCUCUAAACCAGUAGUCUCCAACAUUUUUGGCACCAGGGGAUGGUUUCAUGGAAGACAAUUCUCCCGUGGACUGGGGUAGGGGAUGAUUUAACUGCAUUACAUUUAUUGUGCACUUUAUUUCUAUUUUUAUUACACUGUAAUAUAUAAUGAAAUAAUUAUACAACUCACCAGAAUGUAGAAUCAGUGAGAGCCCUGAGCUUGUUUUCCUGCAACUAGAUGGUCCCAUCUAGGGGUGAUGGGAGAUGGUGACAGAUCAUCAGGCAUUAGAUUCCCAUAAGGAGUGCACAACCUAGAACCCUCCCAUGUGCAGUUCACAAUAGGGUUUGUGAUCCUAUGAGAAUUUAAUGCUGUUCCUGAUCUGACAGGAGGCGGAGCUCAGGUGGUAAUACAAGUGAUGGGGAGUGGCUGUAAAUACAGAUGAAGCUUCUCUCACUUGGCCCCCCACUCACCUCCUUCUGUGCAGCCUGGUUCCUAACAAGUUACAGACCUGUGCCAGUCCAUGGCCUGGGGGUUGGGGACCCCUGCUGUAAACCACAGAUACUAUCUCUCUAAGAAGAUAUUAGAAUUAUGGUGACGUAUUUAAAUUGCAUGCAAAGAUAGUAUUAGGUGUUAUUUUGAAAGUAGGUUAAAAACAUAUACAGUGAUAUGUAUAGAUUAUGUAUAUAUAGAGAGAUAUACACACAUACAUAAUUUCUAAUCAUCAGUGCUUACAUAUAUUAUUAUUUCAUAUAUAGUUCAUAUAUAUAUAUUUACUGAUAUGGUCUGAAUGUUUGAGUCCCCCCAAAAUUCAUAUAUUAAAAUCAUAGCCCCCAAAGCAAUGAUAUUAGGAGGUAGGGCUUUAAGGAGGUGAUUAGCUCAUGAGUGUGGGGCCUUCAUGCAACUAGUACCUUUAUAAAGGAGACCCAAGAAAAACCCCAUCAUUUUUCCUCCAUGUGAAGACACAGUAAGAAGACACCAUCUAUGAAUCUAUGAGGAAGCAGGCCCUCACCAGACACCAAAUGUGCUGGUUCCUAGAUCUUGGACUUCCCAGCCUCCAGAACUGUGAGAAAUAAAUUUCUGUUGGUUAUAAUCUACCUAGUUUAUGCUAUUUUGUUAUAGAACCUCAGGAAGACUAAGAUAUACAUACAGAGAUAGAGAGACAUUAAAUAUAUAUACACACAUUAUAUAUGAGACACAUAUUUAUACAUAUUAUAUAUACAUUAAAAUAUUUUAUGUAAACAUAGCAAAUACUCUAAAACAUUAUCUAUGGCCAUCUCUGAGUGGUAGGAAUAAUGUUCUUUUCUUUUUUCUUUGUUUGGCUGUUAUAUGUUUUAUACAUUUCCUACAAUAAAUAUGUAUUUAUUUUCAUUUGAAA